UGAACAAGGCAAAGCCUGCACCAAGUAUGAGU
rnacentral:piRNA from 1 species